GGAAUCUUGCACAAUGGGCGAAAGCCUGAUGCAGCAACGCCGCGUGCGGGAUGAAGGCCCUAGGGUUGUAAACCGCUUUCAGUAGGGAAGAAAAUGACGGUACCUACAGAAGAAGGGUCGGCCAACUACGUGCCAGCAGCCGCGGUGACACGUAGGCACCAAGCGUUAUCCGGAUUUAUUGGGCGUAAAGAGCUCGUAGGCGGUUCGGUAAGUCGGGUGUGAAAACUCUGGGCUCAACCCAGAGAUGCCACCCGAUACUGCUGUGACUACAGUGCAGUAGGGGAGUGGGGAAUUCAUGGUGUAGCGGUGAAAUGCGCAGAUAUCAUGAGGAACACCAGUGGCGAAGGCGCCACUCUGGGCUGUAACUGACGCUGAGGAGCGAAAGCGUGGGUAGCAAA
rnacentral:rRNA from 1 species